rnacentral:rRNA from 1 species
CAGCCAAGUCGUGAGGCGGAGCAAAACUCAAAAACUUAGUCUCAGUUCGGAUUGUAGGCUGAAACUCGCCUACAUGAAGCUGGAGUUGCUAGUAAUCGCGAAUCAGCAUGUCGCGGUGAAUACGUUCCCGGGCCUUGUACACACCGCCCGUCACACCAUGAGAGUUGGCAAUACCCAACGUACGUGAUCUAACCCGCAAGGGAGGAAGCGUCCUAAGGUAGGGUCAGCGAUUGGGGUGAAGUCGUAACAAGGUACC